CAGCAGCUCGGGCGGCGGGAGGAGCGGUAGCGGCCAGGCAGCCCAGCUUCGCGAAGGGUCUCGGCGCGCCGCGGCCCGCAGGCACCCGGCACGCGCCCGCCCCGCCGCCACGAUGCCCAAGAGGAAGGUCAGCUCCGCCGAGGGGGCGUCGAAGGAGGAGCCCAAGAGGAGGUCGGCGAGGUUGUCAGCUAAACCUGCUCCUGCAAAAGUGGAAACGAAGCCAAAAAAGGCGGCAGGAAAGGAUAAAUCUUCAGACAAAAGAGUGCAAACAAAGGGGAAAAGGGGAGCAAAGGGAAAACAGGCUGAAGUGGCUAACCAAGAAACGAAAGAAGACUUACCUGCAGAAAACGGAGAAACUAAAAAUGAGGAGAGUCCAGCCUCCGAUGAAGCAGGAGAGAAAGAAGCCAAGUCUGAUUAAUACCAUAAACCAUGUCUUAUCAGCGGUCCCUGUCGCCCUUCUUGUACAAUCCAGAGGAAUAUUUUUAUCAACUAUUUUGUAAAUGCAAGUUUUUUAGUAGCUCUAGAAACAUUUUUAAGAAGGAGGGAAUCCCACCUCAUCCCAUUUUUUAAGUGUAAAUGCUUUUUUUUAAGAGGUGAAAUCAUUUGCUGGUUGUUUAUUUUUUGGUACAACCAGGAAAUAGUGGGAUAUUGAAUGUGGGAGGCUUUGAUUGUCUUGGGUGUCAGCUCAACAUUCCAUAGCUGGGGUAGUUUUUAUAUCCUAUAAUACCAAGCAUACUAAAUGGCAA